rnacentral:rRNA from 1 species
GGCGCACGGGUGCGUAACGCGUAUGCAAUCUACCUUGUACAGAGGGAUAGCCCAGAGAAAUUUGGAUUAAUACCUCAUGGUUAUUUGAGUGGCAUCACUUAAUUAUAAAGAUCGGUACAAGAUGAGCAUGCGUCCCAUUAGCUAGUUGGUAUGGUAACGGCAUACCAAGGCAACGAUGGGUAGGGGUCCUGAGAGGGAGAUCCCCCACACUGGUACUGAGACACGGACCAGACUCCUACGGGAGGCAGCAGUGAGGAAUAUUGGGCAAUGGAGGCAACUCUGACCCAGCCAUGCCGCGUGCAGGAAGACGGCCUAUGGGUUGUAAACUGCUUUUGUACGAGAAGAUGACGGUAUCGUAAGAAUAAGCAUCGGCUAACUCCGUGCCAGCAGCCGCGGUAAUACGGAGGAUGCGAGCGUUAUCCGGAAUCAUUGGGUUUAAAGGGUCCGUAGGCGGGCUUAUAAGUCAGUGGUGAAAUCUCCCAGCUCAACUGGGAAACUGCCAUUGAUACUGUAGGUCUUGAAUAUUUGUGAAGUAACUAGAAUAUGUAGUGUAGCGGUGAAAUGCUUAGAUAUUACAUGGAAUACCAAUUGCGAAGGCAGGUUACUAACAAAUUAUUGACGCUGAUGGACGAAAGCGUGGGGAGCGAACAGGAUUAGAUACCCUGGUAGUCCACGCCGUAAACGAUGGAUACUAGCUGUUCGAUAUUGAGUGGCUAAGCGAAAGUGAUAAGUAUCCCACCUGGGGAGUACGCACGCAAGUGUGAAACUCAAAGGAAUUGACGGGGGCCCGCACAAG